GGUGAACGCUGGCGGCGUGCUUAAGACAUGCAAGUCGAACGGCAGUCUUCGGACUGUAGUGGCGCACGGGUGAGUAACGCGUAACUGACCUACCCCAAAGUCGCGGAUAACGAUUCGAAAGAAUCGCUAAUACGUGAUGUGCUGUCAGAUUGUGUUCUGCCAGUAAAGAUUGAUUGCUUUGGGAUGGGGUUGCGUUCCAUCAGCUAGUUGGUGGGGUAAAGGCCCACCCAGGCGACGACGGAUAGCCGGCCUGAGAGGGUGGCCGGCCACAGGGGCACUGAGACACGGGUCCCACUCCUACGGGAGGCAGCAGUUAGGAAUCUUCCACAAUGGGCGAAAGCCUGAUGGAGCGACGCCGCGUGAGGGAUGAAGGUCUUCGGAUCGUAAACCUCUUAAUCAGGGACGAAAGACACUUCGGUGGGAUGACGGUACCUGAGUAAUAGCACCGGCUAACUCCGUGCCAGCAGCCGCGGUAACAC
rnacentral:rRNA from 1 species